CUAACUCAUAGCCCUGUAUUUUGUUAAAUUUUUCCUCUAGUCUUGAGUCCUCCUUUAAUCUGUAGGGUGUUAUUCUACACAGGACCUCUCUCUUAUUUUUUGGAGUCUAGCAUCUUGCAUCUUCCUGGAGCCCCAACUAAACUCAUAACUUCUAAGCUUCUAAGAAAUAUAUGACGAGCUCCAUGAGGGCCAAGGCUGUCCGUUCUUGUUCACCACUGCACACCCAGGAGCUCAUGGCAUGCUGUCUGUGCUAGUGCUAUCCUCAACAGAAUAAUUGCUGACAAACUCUCUUGCCCAGAAAAUGUCUAUUGGAAUUAUGGAGUACAAAAGAACUACAAAAGCAAUGAAGAAAAGAAGGAUGUUUUAUUUACAUCCUAUUUCAAAACCAUUGCUUUCUUGCUAUUGUAUGUCUCUGCAGGCCCAAUACCGUGCAUCUGCGUAAGAAGUUUAGAAUUGUUCCUUAUGUUUCCUUCUAACACUGGUAUAUUCACUUGAAAGUGUAGAUUUUAUUCACUUCUAAAACAGUUAGCUCAUAAUUCGGAACACUGAGGUUUGCAAAAUGACUGAAGGAAACUUUACCCAAACAAUAGUUGCCGGUUCUGCUGAGAAUGAUCACAGGCCCACAAUAGCCGUGUGUUUUUCCGUGUAGACAUUCUGAUUUUUUUAUUAUACAGCUAAUUUUUUUUAGACUCAUGAGUAAAAUAGCAAGUCAGUCUGUGCAUAAGCAUAUGUUUAAAUCUACUGGGAGAAAUGUCUGGAAUCCUUCUGGUUAUUAAAAUUAAAAAUCAGAAUAAUGAAAGGCAUAUGCAACUUACUGUAUUCUUUAUAUAACUCAUUUCAUCUAGUCCUCCAAAUAGCUAUAAGACAUAUUUAUCCCCACCUUACAUAAAUGUUAACCAAAGUUUGUACGGUUAGUUCAUUUGUCCACAGUUACCCAGAAAAUUGUUUGUGGAGCUCAGCACAAGGCUGACUGCCAGACUCCAAAGUCUAUGUUCCUUCUACUACCACACGUUGCCUUUGCUGUUCUUAUAAAAGUUGAAAAAAUAUCCUUCUGCUUUUCCUACUUCUCCAAAAACUAUUUAUGAUGACAAAUCCAGUUUUUUUUGUAUGUAGCCCUUUAGCAUUUCAAUGCAUGUAGCAUAAGGCAUGUGCAUUUGUGCAUGCCGUGCAUGCCUCUGUGUGUACAUGCACACGUGUGUGGGGAU